GGCGCUAUAGCCAAGUGGUUACGGCGACAGAUUCGAACCUAUGUUGGAUAUCUGUUCCUCUUUGAGGGCGCAAGUUCGAAUCUUGCUGGCGUCG
rnacentral:tRNA from 1 species